UAUUGUUGUUGCUGUUGUUGGCGUUGCUUUUGUUAUUGCCUUUGCUGUUGCUGCUGCUGCUCUCGUCGUUGUCGUAUGUUCUGUAUUAUUCGUCAUUUGUUUUUGUUGUUUUCGUUAGUUUUGUUUGUUCGCCUUUAACAGUUGCCAGCGUCGCUGACGCAGCAACAACGACAUCGACAACAGCAGCAGUAGCAGCAACGCCAGAGCAGCGAGCGACUUUGUUUUGUUGUUGUAGAUUCUGCUGCUGCUUGCUGAUUUUUUUUGUUAUUGUACCGCCUGCGCAACUGUUCUUAUUGUUGUUGUAUAACGAAGUGGAGAGGGCAAACAAUAAACUAGCUGACAAUAUUAAUUGUGUUUUGUCUAUUAACAUAAAAUAUAUAUGUAUACAUAUACAUACACACAAUGUACAUUCAACACAUUUAUGAAUACAAACAUAUGUACAUACAUUUGUAAACAAGAAGGAAUGAAUAUUAGAAUAAAUACCCGGCUAUUCCCCCUCCCCGUUUCACCCACCCAGCCAAUGACAGCAGCAGCAACAGCAAUGAAGGCAAAGGUAAUAACUUUGUUAGAUAGAACAACAACAGCUACAACAACAACAAUAACAUCAACAGCAGCAGCAGCAGCAGCAGCAACAAAAGGCACAAAUACAUAUACAAUGUACACUCUAUACACAGACACAGAAACAGUUACACUAUGGCAUAUAGAAUUUUUCUUGUUGCUGUAUUGUUGUUGCUUAUCUGGCCAAGGCGUUGUUGUAUUUGUUGUUGUUGUUGUAUGUAUGUACAUACUCGUAUGUAUAUUUUUCAAAAACAUUUUCUUCGUACGUACAUAUCUCGAAAUUGUUUAUUUUACCUGUACUCUGGCAGUUUGCGAACACCGCGAGGGAGAUUUGAAAAAGCGUUUCCGUAAGAAAUUUAAAGCGCGCUCUUAUUUUUUAAGCCAGUGUCGCACGGAAAA